CACGGAGUUAGCCGAUCCUUAUUCCUUCGGUACAUUCAGCUUCCUACACGUAGAAAGGUUUAUUCCCGAAUAAAAGCAGUUUACAACCCAUAGGGCCGUCUUCCUGCACGCGGCAUGGCUGGUUCAGGCUUGCGCCCAUUGACCAAUAUUCCUUA
rnacentral:rRNA from 1 species